rnacentral:rRNA from 1 species
UACGUAGGGUGCAAGCGUUGUCCGGAAUUAUUGGGCGUAAAGAGCGUGUAGGCGGCUUGAUAAGUCUGCUGUGAAAGUCCAGGGCUCAACCCUGGAAAGCCGGUGGAUACUGUCGAGCUAGAGUCCGGAAGGGGCGAGUGGAAUUCCUGGUGUAGCGGUGAAAUGCGCAGAUAUCAGGAGGAACACCAAUGGCGAAGGCAGCUCGCUGGGACGGUACUGACGCUGAGACGCGAAAGCGUGGGGAGCAAACAGG